UUUCUGGGAAACAGCAGAACUAAACAGUGUGUAAGACUGUUUUAUUUAAAAAAAUAAUUUCUUUGCUUAGGUUUCCUCUUUCCGCAUUGUUAGUCAGUUCAGUCUGCUGUCUGGGAUGGGUGGUGUUUUUUACACCAGAAUUUAUCUUCAUAAACUUAAUAUCUGGAGUGCCUCGUGAGCAGAGUUGGGGGUUUUGUGCACCACCAGGACUUUCUGGCCUCAAGGACUGCAGAGGAGGAGGUGGAUGGAGUGCAGUGGUGAAGGCGGGGGCGAGCGCGGGCUCAGUGUUUAUGUGCAUAAUUCACGUACUAGAGAUGCCCAGCGGGUCCUUACAGUCAGCCUGGGAAAGUAGAUGUGAUUAUUCUCAUGUUGCAGGGAACGAACUGGAGUCCCAGAGAGGUUAAGUACCUUGUGCAAGGUGACAGCCAAAGAGUGCAAAAACUGAAUGCAGGUUUUUUUAAGCUGUCAAGCCCCUGCUUUUCACCCUCCUCCCUGACUACACAAGGACCUCCUGCCCUCAGCUGGUGGACAGCAAAUUCUGGCAGGCCUUUUGGACCAUUUGUUCCUAGGACCCAGAGGACUUCCUUCAGACAGUGGAGAACACAGGACACAGAGAAGCCUCCCUCAUCCCUCCUCCAGAAUCACGCCCUGAGCCGUGGCUCUGGGUUGCUGAGUGCCGCUUCUGCCUCCCCUGGCCUCGCUUCCCGCACAGGUGCACGCAGACCUCAGGGGCACAGGAGCUGUCUGCCCUCCCGUGGCGCAUCCCCAGGGCCAAGGGGCCAGGAAGGUUCUCCAGCAGCUUGGAAGGAGAGGGCUGCCCAAGAGACCCUAACAGUCAGUGCAAGAGGAUGUGACCCGGGGGCUAAGAGGCCAGCUGUGUUUGUGAUGGAAGACCCCACAAGGCGCGCAGCACUGGAGGCUCGCCAGCUGGAGGACGGGGGUCCCGGACAGUCCAGGUCGCCCUGUGCUGUACGUUAUUUCCCGGGUCAGACCAGGUCUUAAUGGCAGGAAAGCAUGUAGGAGACUAGAUCAGUUGUAUUUCUGUAACGCCGCCUCGGAGCUGGGGGGUUACUUCAUGCCUUCUGUGGGGAGCUCCCCUCGGUGGGAGUUGGCCAGCUGGCCCACGACCUGUCCUGUGCAGCCCAUGCACCAGUGGCAGUUUUCACGCUUCCAAAUGGUUGGAGAAGUUAUAAGGCUGUUGUGAGACUUUGGUGUGCACCAAGAAAGCCAUGGCGGAAGGUGCGCCCCUCGCUCCUGCUUCUGCGGACAUCAGAGGAGCGGGUCCUGGCCCUUCGCAGAACCAUGUGUCCAGGCCCACAGCACUUCCUACCUCCCUCAACACGCUCAGCUCGCAGUCUGCUUGAGAGUCUCUCUCUGUCCCUUCCCCUUGCAUGUCCGCUCCCUCUUUCUCUCUCCAUAAUAAAUACAUCUUUGCCAACAAAACAGUGCUAGUCAUUCCAGCAGGGGCGCUGGCAGGGGCUGGCAGUGUUCUGUUUCUUGCUCUGGGUGCUGGUGACGAGGUGUCCUCAGCUUGUGAAGAUUCCGUAAAUUGAUCACUUACUCACUUACGUACUCUUUCUGGCAUGCGUGUUACAGUGAAUGAAAUUUUAAAAAUUUUAAAUUUAAACUUAAUUUAAAUUUAAAUUGUUAAUUGUUAACUUAUACUGCAUUAUUAGUUGCAGGGGUGGAAUGUAACGAUUCAUCAGUUGCACAUAACGCCCAGUGCUCACAUUACAUCCAGUGCCCUUCUUCAUGCCCGUCACCCAAUAGUAAGAAACCUUGCUGAGUGAUUUGACUUCCAAAGCCAACUGCAUAUAAAGGGAGAGCACCAGGGGGAGAGAUUUCCUUGGUGGUGGUGGUGGAACAGUUCUGUAUCUUGAUUGUGGCAGUGGUGACACAAACUUUCCUACUGAUGGGGUUAAGUUGGGUAACGUACACAUUCACAAAAGGAGUGUACAGGGCGCUGGGAACGCUGGCCUGUAUCAGCAGGAUGAUACUGAUGUCAGUUGCCUGGUAGGAGUUAUGUACGGUGGUAAGCACUGGGGGAAGAGGGAUGGAGGGCAUAGAGGAAUCCACGGCUUCCGUAACCUCCCAUGAGCUUUUAAGUAUUUCAAGAUCAAAAGUUGGAAGAUGCUGAGGGGAAACAGCCAGCUUUGUGAUCAACAGUGCCAUACUAAAAGUUCUUCCAUUAAAGUCAGCAACAACGACAACCAGGAUUUCUCCAACGGAGCAGUCUCUCUUUUUGAGGUGAGUUUAGGGAAUGGCCAAAUUUCUUGUAUUUGAAGCCUACUUAGUACUGUCACCUCUGUCCUGAAGGUGACAAGCCCAGAGUUGCAGGCCCGAGGUCUUAGCACAACAGGAAAAAAUCACACAGUCUUGCCUAAUCUGACACAACACCCGUGAAAACCAUGUCCCCUGCAUCACUAGGACAGGAGAUUUGUCUAUGACCUGCACUGUGGCAAGUCCUUCCUAGUUAGCUGAAAAAAGGGAUGGAUGAUAAGUAAAUCAUCAGACUGCCAAUUUCCAAACACAUUUCCACUCAUUUAUACAUAUCACCUGAAAACAGAAUAUGCUGGUAGCCUUUCAGUGCCCUUAGAUGAAGCAGGACCUGCUGUUUUUCCAGAGAGGUUUCCCAGACUUCCAUCAAUGAAAACCAGGCUAAUUUGCUUUUCAAUUUGUUGCAGGCUAAACUAAGAAUGAAACUGUAGCAUUUACAUUUACUGAUAGAGAAUGGAAGAAAUAGGAGGAAGACGAAAGUAACACUUGACCAGAGGCCUAGGCCCAGUAUGUAAAGAACCCUCAAGUUGAGAGGGAAGUGGAUAACCUGGUAAUCAAGUAAUUUUAAAAAUCAACAGCAGGUUCAGCAGAACAGUAGGCAUCGUCUACAUAGAGCAGGCCUUCCUGGGUUCUUUGAUUCCCACAUUCAGUGCCCUUCAUGCAUUUUCUGACCCUGUCCCGUUGUAGAGGAAGAGCAGUGUGAAAUGCAGAUUCUGGCGUCCUGAGAGUCUGACCAGCCUCCGUCCUGCAUGUGGAAGGAGCUAGUGUACUUCCAUUCAGACAUUCCUUUCAAGGUUUCUCACCCAUAUAAAUUUGUUGGAGUUUUUGGCUUCUCCUUUCAACUGGUUAUAAUGCCCUUACCAGCUUCCUCAAUAAUGAGUUAAAUAAAAUAACUACCAUAGGUUCCUUUUUUAAAAAACCAAACCAGGUGAAAAGAAAUGCAUGAACUCAGUGGAAUGGCAGAGGGAAACACAUAUCCAGUGGCACAGUUCUUUCUUCCAGUGAAAAGCUUAAUAAUAAAAUAAAAAAUAAUGAGCACUGAGUGAAAAUAUAGGAUACAUUGUUAAAGUAACUAACAGUGGUUAUAUCCAAAUAGUAGGAUUUCAGGGAAUUUCUUCCUCAUACUUCUCUUUAUCAGAAAAAACUCAAACUGGAGGAAAAGUACAUAAUGGACAAUAGUGGAGUGAGUAGAAAUUUGAGAAAGCUGGAGAAUGCCCCUUUCUCACACUUACAAACCAUGUAAAUUUUCAGUCUGAUUCAGCGAACAUUUACUGAGCACAAACCAUGGGACAGAUCUUUGUGAAGAUGCUAGGGUACAGAAUUUCACAUGCAGGCUCCUGGCCCACGGCAUUCACUGACCAGCAGCUCUCUGGGGAGGGAGCACUAUUUACACCUGCAGGAGAGGAAGAAUAAUUUUCCUUCUGCCCUUCUGAGUUCUUGGCUAAAUAAAAGCUAGAGAAAAAAAAAACAAAAAAAAAAAAACAGGAGCUUAUUACCAUGUAUGCCUCAGGUGUACAGGAGAGAUGCCCAGGAAAGAAUGAGGAACUCAGAGAAGCAGCUUGAAACUCUGGCUGAUGUAGCGUCCUCAACAAAGAGCAGUACAUUUGUGGAGAAAAGACAGGACAGAGGAAAGCAUUUGUAGGCUUUCAAGGGCUGAGACAAAAGCCAGUUGGUAAAAUCUGUCCUGUAGAUUCCUUUAGUGUCUCUCCAGGCCCACAGCGUCUAGAGUUGUCACCGGGGAUCAACAUUUAUCCUUCCUACUGCAGGGGUGGGGGCACCCGUGUAAAUUAGGUCCUGCUUUUAAGAAAGUAGGAGAAGGGCAGAGAGCUUUUCUGGUAUCUGUUUCUUUUAGACAUCUUCAGCUCAUGGUAAUUGCUAUACCAAAGCAGCAUACUUUGGGAUAGCAUAUUCUGCUGUUUUUCAUGCAUUAUGUGAACUGGGCUAAUAGUAUCCAGUAUAAACAGAAAUGAUGAACUGGAAAGGAGGAAACCACAACCAAAAAACCUUAACACAGAAACAGGAAAUUCUGUUAAUGCAACAUUUAUUAAUUAUACACACACACGCACAACUCUGCUGACGAGACUGAUACACAUACACAAUUAUCAAAAACUGGAAAACAGUUCUAGGCACAUUUAAAAAGCAGAACGUUCCCACUACACUUAUUCCCAGGUUUUAUCCUACAAAAUAAAGCACACACACAAAGUCACAGCAUCAAUAUUAUUCAAGUAAAGAGCUAACAUAGCUGCACAUGAAUGAUUAAAACCCUGGGCUGCAGCCUUUGGAGAAGGCAGGCCUGUGGCAAAAUCUAAAACUAACAGUUUAACAGUAAAACCAGAUUUAUUUGCAUUGUGCUUCCAAUGCUUAUUUUCACAGUCUCUCCCUAAGAAUAAAGGAGAAAAGAGAACAACACCUGACAUAAAAUCGUGUUUGAAAGCCACUCAAAGGGGUAAGUGCAGAUAAGCUAUUUCAACGAGAAUCCCUGCCUAGCUGGGGGAAGUGAAUGGAGUAGUUUUCUCGAGGCCAACAGACUCCUGUUAUCCAGGUAAUUUCUGAUCACAGGAUCAUUGUUGGCAAGUUCUUGGUGAGAACUCGUUGGAGCAAUGCCCAGAAAAGUACCUUUUACACAGGUGUUCAAUGAAAUAAAACAGUGCCUGAUAAACGCAGGAAGAUCAGAUCUCCCUCAGCAUCAGUAGCUCUACUACACCUCAGGUUGGCAAGCUUUUUCCGUAAGCGGCGAGUCCAUACUAUGGGCUUUGCAGGCCGUACUGUUGGUCUGUGUUGCCAGUACUCAACUCUGCCGGGAGACCAGCCGCAGAUCCGAUGUUGAAUGAAUGGGCAUGGCUGUGUUUCACCGCAGCUCUAUGGAUGGAAUCUGAAGUUGGAAUUUCUUUAAUUUUGUGAUAUGAAAUACCGUCCUUUUGAUUUUGCCCCCAAUCAUUUGGAAAUACAAACCUAUUCUCAGCUCUGGGCUACACAGAAACAGGUGGUGGGUUAGGUCUGGCUUGUGAGCUCUUGUCUGCCAACCACUGCCUGACUUCACCACACAGGGUCACCUUAUUGGAAAAUACCCGCCCCCCCGAAAUGUUCAGUUAGAGACACUUUUCUUCUUCCCACAACCCAGAACAGUUUUACUCAACAGGAACCUAGUUCCUUCCCAAAUCACUUUAAAUACAUAAUUAAAGACAUUGCAGUGAGUCUCUGGACCUCGAUUUAUGGACCCAGGGGGGCCAAAUAAGCAAGAAAACUCCAGUCUGCCGCCCAGACAAGGAAUCCACUGGCUUACCAAGCUAUCCACAUAUGUGAAUGCAUUCUCCUAACACCUCCUGGUGUCCGUGUUCCAGACUUCUAACAAAUAAUGUUACAGCAUCUUUAUUGUUGAAAUAGAUGGAUACAUCCAAAUCUUAAGUAAUUAGAAAGAUAUAGAAAACCACUUAAAACUAUAAAAGAAAGAAACCAUCAGUAUGCUGCACAUGUGAUUCUGGACAGGGUGUGGCUGAGAUAUGUCAGCCUGAGGCGGAGGUCAGCUUGUCUCUCCUGUGGGAAUCGGGAGACGGCUGGUGUGAGGCAGGCUAACAGAAGGGAGCGCCAGGACCAGAGGUGAGUUCCUCUGUGCCCACGGGCAUUCCAGACAGUGACUUAACCUCGGCUCCCCAGGGGUAGAGGGAACGAUGCUAACUAGCAGGGGGCAGGGAGGGGACCCCCGUCCCCAGCACACCUGCCCUCAAGCUCUCCUUCCAAUGCCCAGAAUAUCCACGGAAUGACAGUGGAUUCCACACAUGGUGGGAAAGGAAAGCUCCAUCACUGCUUAUUCAGCCUGAUUCCUUUUCCUCAGUGUCUGAGUACGGACAGGAGAUGUGUCCAGAAAAGCUUAGAAUUUUCCGAAUCAGAGUUCCUCUUUCAGAGUGACAGGAAACACCAGUCAUUUUUGUUUUAAAUAACGAACUGUAAAAACUCUUACUGGAUAAAGGGUACCUGCCAUUCGAGGCCUCACACCCCUUCCGCUAGGUGGAUGGGCCCUUAUGGAAAUCUCUUUUCCUCUCAGGUUCGCUGUGGGGAGACGGUUUGUCCUCCUGGAGGUGAGGGAGCAGCACCCCGAGAGGACGGGAAGAGAGGCUGCAGGGGACAACCGCCUUGUCUCAGAAGUCCACAACCUCUGGUCCACUGGAGCCGUCCACUCGUCUCCAUUCUCAGCGGAAUAUUCUAUGGCACUUCAGGAAAGAUUGUGAAAGGAACGUGCAUUCCAGAACUGAGGAGGUACAAGAGAGAGCUCUCAGCCACUUCACAUGCAACAAAUAAUGGGAACUCGUGGCUCCCCAACGCCUCGGGAUUGUCAGAGAGGAACCUCUGUCAUGUCAUGGUAAGGGACACCAUCCAAAAAGUCUCUGGACGGCGAUCAGAUGUUACUUUAUCCCACAGACCUCUUAACUCCCCACUGCAAAUCUCCCUAAGAAGGGUGAUGAAGAUGAACUAGUAUUUUCAUAUGCCAUAGGAGAGAAAAUACUAGGAUGACGUCUGUGUUAAGUCAGUGAAGUCUGAUUUAAGUCACGUACCUUUCCAGUCGCUGUUGAGCCAGUAAAGGAUAUUUUGGACACUAGAGGAUCAGUACAAAGUGCUUCCCCUACUUCCUUUGCCUUCUUUCUAGAGCAGGGAAUAACAUUGUACACACCUGGGGGAAUGCCAGCCUGGUUUGCAAGCUAUAAAGAGAAACAGCAAACAGGGGGCAGCAAAUGAUCAAACUGGAAAAACAGAAAAAGAGAAAUAGAUGUUUUAAUCCAAAACGUAACGCGGGGUGAAAAAAAACCAAAGCUGACUUUGGGGACAGAAUAAGAAUACAUUUGGAACUACUCAGAACUGAAAUAAGAUCCUUAUUCAUGCUAAAGUGAUACUAAAUGUGUUGUUACACAAUUAAAUAUUUUAUAGCAUGAAUUUCAAUGCCACGUUUUAAAAAUUAUUUUAACUAAAUUUUUAAUGCCACUUCGGUUAAAACAAAACAAAACAACCCUUGGAUUUCUUUCCCGGGAAAAGUCAGGAGAGAGUUCCAGAAGUUUUGGGUUCACCUGUAGAAGGACCGAAGGGAGAGGGUGCACCCAGAGCACCGCCUGAUAGGGGGGAGCGGUCAGGCCAUCCCGCAGGGGACCCCGGGGCAGUGAUGAUGACUGGGAGGCCUCGUGGGGGGAUUGUGCGCAUGCCGCAGGCCAGGGAGAAACGGAGCCAGCGCGCGGACCCACCGCUGCCUGGGCCGGAAACCUGUGCUCUUUCCACAGCGGCCCUCUUUGGACGGGGCAUAUUGGCAUUACCAUUACUUCCGAAUUUUGUAAAAAUGCGCACUGUGCAAAUCUGGGGAUUCUGGGAAGACGGUGGGAACAGUGGAGUGUUGCAGAGUAAUUUCAUCUUGUGAAAAUAGGGCAGUUACGGGGCCAAACCAAAGCAUCAGAGACAACAUUCCCAAGACAGGAUGUGGUGGGGGCCCAGGACAGUUGUGUUUUACUGCAGCGCAGGCCGACUUCAGGUCUGACCGCCCGGGCAUCCACUUAAAUGCGUGUGUGGGGCACACACUGCCCGCCACGCCGCGAAGAUGAGGAGCCAGGCAGCCCUCCCUCUGAAGUUUUGGAAAACGGAGGGUUUGGCAACUGGCUUUUUUGCCUGACCAGGGGGUGUGGACACGCUGGUGACAGCUGGGAGCAGCAGCACCUGCGGGAGAAGCUGUAGAGGAAGCCGUCUGACGAGUCCAGAGAACCGCCCUGGAACCGGGGCAGGCCGGCCUCAACGGCCCACGGACUGCCCAGCCCAAGAGCAGGGCGAAACGUAAGGAACAGCUGAGCGCACAGCGGUAAGUAUCGGGCUGCUGCUUUCCCCCGAGAUCCCCUAGGAGUUCACAAGGUGCGAAACGAGGUCCUAAAACACGCAAAAAGAAAGACGUGAGACAAUGAAAACCAUGUCCCCAGUGGGCGACGGACCCACACUGCAGCUCAGGGAAGCAGGGACGGCGGCAGGGUGCGUGCUCUGACCUCGCAAGGGCAGACGCAACCCUAGGGCUAGACCUGGAGGAGGGGGCGGGAGAGGGAACACAAACCAGCGGCGGGCAGGGUGGAGACAGGCCUGGGGGAGGAGGGCAAGAGGGGAGGGUCCGGGCUGCCUCACAGAGGAGCUCCACCAGAGCCCACCUUUCCCUGCAGCAUAGGUGGACCCGCCUCGCUCGGGUAUGUGGAGGCCCCUCCCACUCCUCAGCAGGACCCUGCGAGGUCUUUCCCAGGAGGAAGGUUCUCUGAGAAGACUCAAGCCUCCCCAGGACAGGCUGACGCCACGUUCACGAUCCGGAGGCGUGGAUGUCAGGGCCUCCAGCUGACUCUCCAGUCCCAGCAGAUCUUUUUUGCAGAGGGCCCUGGUUCAAGCCGCCUUCCUCUCUCACCUCCGUCCCUGCCAGCAGCCC